UGAAUGGUUGGACAAGAAAUAAUCUGUCUUAAGUUAACAUAUUGAAUUUAACUUUUGAGUGAAAAGGCUUAAAUGAUCUGAAGGGACGAUAAGACCCUAUAAAACUUUAUAUUUGUAAGAUAGUAGUUAAUUUUAUUUAAAAGUAUUAUUUUAGAGUAUUUGGUUGGGGUGACAAGGAUAAAAUGGAAAAUAACUGUCUUUUUUUUUUUACAAUGAUAUUUGAUUUUAUGAUCCUAAAAAGGAUUUAAGAUUAAGUUACUUUAGGGAUAACAGCGUAAUUUUCUUUAAGAGUUCUUAUCGACAAGAAAGUUUGCGACCUCGAUGUUGAAUUAAAAGUUCUUUAUGGAGUAGAGACUAUAAAAGAAGGUCUGUUCGACCUUUAAAAUUUUACAUGAUUUGAGUUCAAACCGGUGUGAG
rnacentral:rRNA from 1 species